GUAUUGCGUGUUUUCGCCAACGGCUUACUACCACAAUGGCGGGAUCUGCGUUCGCCGCCUUCGUGUCUCGGUGCGUCUUUGUACGUCGCACGUUCGGAUAACACUUUUUCCGACGGCUGGACAUCCUUCUUGUACCUUGGCGCCAGCUGGAUGACGGGACCUCAUCAUGAUCAGUGUAUUGCUUGCCUAUGUCUACAAGAACCGUCACGCGUGGCCUGUGACAGCAAGCUUUUGUGGGCAGCAAGUGCUCUCCUACGAAGGCUGGCCUACUCUGGCAGCGGCGGCAAUCAUCUUGAAGAUUUAUCCAUAAUCACCUUUGCUGCUAUUUGUCACUCUUGCUGAUUACACUUUCUGCGUCUUUUCU
rnacentral:lncRNA from 1 species